ensembl:lncRNA
CAUGCGUGUGUGUGUGAGAGAGAGAGAGGCUAAGAGAGAGGGGGGACAGUCAGAGUGUGUGUGAACGAGGGGCAGCGAGACACUGUGUUCAAAGCAAAGGUUAAACCAACAGGGCUCUCUCACAGGCUGAUAUGAAAGAAAUGGUGUAAUGAAUCAAACCAAAGUCAUAAACCAUAAACGCCCUCCCUUCUCCACUUCUCCACUCCCCACUAAGCAUUCCCAACACAAAGUCCCCCCCCAGCACCCACCCCUCCCACAGCUCAGACUCACUAAGCCCAGCUAGCCACUCUCAGCCAGUGGCUAACAGCUUCAGACAGGCGUGGGAGCAGGGUGAAUCCAAGCAGGAUCUGCCCCCAGAGCUGCCAGGUCAGGCAGGACAAACAGAGGCUAUGGCCAGGAAACAGCCCCUCUGCCCUGGGGCCUACGGCCUCACUGUAAUCCCUGUACCCUCCCAUCUCCCAGUGCUCACACACACACACACACACACACGGACACACAGACACACAGACACACACACACAAAUAUGCACGCACGCACGCACGCACGCACACACACACACACACACACACACACACACACACACACACACACACACACACACACACACACACACACACACACACACACACACACACACACACACACACACACACACACACAAUCUUAUUUUCCCUAACCCUUAACCCUAACCUUAACCCCUAUCCGUAAUCCUAAACCUAACCCUAAACCUAACCCCUAACCAUAAUCCUAAACCUAACCCCUAAACUGUGUAAGAUGCCGUCUUUCGGAUGGGACAUUAAAUGAGUGUCCUGAUUCUCUGUGAUCACUAGAGAUCCCAAUGCACUUAUUAUAAGAGUAGGGGUGUUAACCACGGUGGCCUGGCUAAAUUCCCAAUCUGGCCCUCAUACCAUCAUGGUCACCUAAUAAUCCCCAGCAUCCAAGUGGCUCAUUCAUCUCCCCUCCUCUCCCCUGUAACUAUUCCCCAGGUCAUUGCUGUAAAUGAGAAUGUGUUCUCAGUCAACAUACCUGGUAAAAUAAUGGUAAAAUAAAAAAAUACAAGCUUAAAAUAGCCCUUGUCCUCAUGGGGAUGUGAGAAAUGUCCCCACAAGGGAUAAAUGUCCUUGUUUUAAUAUCCUUGUGGGGACAUUUUGGGAUUUCUGGUCCCCACGAGGAUAGAAGAACAAGUCAAGACCACACACACAGUCUGCCCCUUCACCAACACAUUGCACCAGUGCACUCCAGGCACUGUGAGGGAGCAACAAAUGUAUGGUAUAUGCAACAUGCAAGUGUUUAUCUAAAUUUAAUUAUUCAAUUGGUCACUAAUUUACAAUAUGACACAUUAACAUGAAUAUUGAUAGUUCUGUUAAGAAACCUUUGAGAUGCUGUUUAUAAUUCAUGUACAGCUAAGAAGAAUUCAAGGUGUCAGAUAUCUCCAAGCAUGUCUGAAUACCACUUUGAAGUUCUUACUACAUCAACUCACAGACUCCACAGAGACAUUUAGAAUUUUCACAGCUAGAAAGAGAAUAAUAAUCUCUCCUCUGUUUCUCUCUCUGUGGGUACAUGUUUAGCAUCACCACAUCUGUCUCUCUUCCUCUCUUUGGGAGAAAAAGAGAAAAAUAAGAAAUGGAAAGAGAGAAAGAGGUCAGGAAGGAAGGAGUGAAAGAGAGAAUGAGAGAAAGAGAGAAAAGGGGAAAGAGGGAAAGAGAGAAAAAGGGAAGAGAGAAAAGGGGAAAGAAGGAAAGAUAAAAAGGGAAAGAGGGAAAGAGAGAAAAGGGGAAAGAGGGAAAGAGAGAAAAAGGGAAAAGGGAGAGGGAAAGAGAGAAAGAGAGAAAGAGGGAAAGAGAGAAAGAGAGAAUGAGAGAAAGAGAGAAAAGGGGAAAGAGGGAAAGAGAGAAAAGGGAAAGAGGGAAAGAGGGAAAGAGAGAAAAGGGAGAGGGAAAGAGAGAAAAGGGGAAAGAAGGAAAGAGAGAAAAGGGGAGAGGGAAAGAGAGAAAAAGGGAAAGAGGGAAAGAAGGAAAGAGAGAAAAAGGGAGAGGGAAAGAGAGAAAGAGAGAAAGAGAGAAA